AAAAAGAAAAAAUUAUUCCAAAAAUGAUCCGGGUGAGGUCGCACUAGAGACGAUUUAAACUAUCUCUGAUAUACAUAUGGCUCAGAUAGCAUUCGGGAGAACAAUAAACGACAUAUAAAAAAAAAGAACCGACAACAAAACGCGUCCAGCACGUGUAAGCUGAUCAUCUGCUAAUCAACUCAUACGUUCAGAAAUGACUGCUUGUUGUCAUGCAAAACUGUUAGUUCAAACAAGAAAGUGCUCAACGAACGCCCACCUGCCACCGAGCAUUCACUUUAAAAGAAACAAUAUCCUAAUCAAAUUAAUCAAGAAUCAAUGAUCAAAUCUACUCUGCACAUGCGCAAACAGAGUCGCUCUCCCCUCCCUCUCUCUGACCCGAUCAUUCCUCAUGAUUAAUGCUAAUUCUAAUGACAGCAGCCCUGUCAGCUGGGCGCUCACAUGUAGUGCCUUCAGGAGUCGCUCUCGUUACAAGAGGCGCACCAGCACCACGGAGGUGUGCCGCAGAGAGCAGAUGAGGGUGUGUGACAGAGUCUGUGUGUCCAGACAGACUCCACCCCGGCCUCGCUUUCCUGUCGCCCGGCAACCCUUUAAGACACAACAAUGAACCAUCCACAGCCCGAAGGAAGAAGCCGACAGUCACAUGAACAGCGGCAGUCACAGCCGCUGCUGAGGAAUUUUGUUCUCCUUACCAAAAAAAAAAAAAUGUACCCUAAUAAUCAGCAGUGUUAACAAUUAGUCCUCUGUCCCGGAGAGCUUGGAGACAUUCUUACCCACUCGGCCUCUUCUGUGGUUCACUGCAGUGCAAUGCCUAAUUAUAGCAGCGGAGUUGGCAAACACCGGAUCACCGGCACAAGUUCGACAAUGUUGUUUCAACAGGCUCGUGUUAUGUAACCGUCAGAUCUGGGCAGCAUUAAAGAACUCCUCGUGAGUCUCUGGGACCGUGAUGAAGAGCCUUCAUAAACUUCUCAUGAGAUCAACAGGAAAUGUCUUGACCAUAGGACUCCUGCCUUUCAUGCUGCCCCUUUGAAGUCCCUUUUGUCAGGCCCAUCAAUUGCUCUUUUUGACAAACAAGGAAAAGUUGUAGGGAACGUUGAGUCUCACACAUGUUUACCUCUCUCUUCUGAGAAAAAAAAAAGUAGCCAAGCGAGUGUGUAUGCCUGAUGGGGGGAUGGUAGUGCCAAAGCCGCUGUGAAUCAGGCCUGAAUACAUUAGGGCCACUCUCUUUAAAAGUGUGCCAAAGAGUUCAUAAGACGCCCCUCAAAGAGCGCAAUAAUGGGCUUCAAUGCUUUCCAUCUGCAGAGGGAGAAAGAACUGUGACUGCACGUGCUGCGAAUGGUGGCCUCAACAACCAAGCGGUUUAUGGCCGUCGGAGGCGUCAUAAAACUGAUUGUUGGAUUAAGAUGUGGACAUUGGAUGGAGAAGCUACGAUUCAAAAUGUGAUGUAAACAAAAUCAGAGAAAGCCACUGCACACAGGAGGUGCUCUGCCUUGAGAAAGUUUUCUUGAACCUGUUCACAUUUUGUGUCAAAAAAAAGUUAGAGCUGAGUGUGGGAAUGAACAUCACAACCCAAAUUACGUGCGUUCUAAUUGCAUGUCGAAAAUGGAUUUGGAGCGGGAAGCGACAUGUUCGCUAGUACCACGUGUGCCAGUGGUUUAAUGUGAUACAAGUAAUCAGCAGGGAUAAUAAACCUGAUACUUUUAGUACCUGUUAUACAUCUGGUAAAAACAAAUUACAGGGAUGUGGGCCGCAUCAGCAGCAGAAUCAUUGAAUUGAAUUGAAUUGAAUUAUUGUAUCACUUUGUACAGACAUUAAGUGCAAUAAUAAAAUUUUUUAGAAAAAGU